rnacentral:lncRNA from 1 species
ACCUACACAUUUUUAUUUUUAGGCUAAAUUAUAAAAGGGGCAAUUGCUUAUAUACCCCUGAAAAGUUCCUGACUUUCUGAUUUAUCCCUCUUAGAAGGCUAAUAUUGAAAAUACCCUCUUUACAUUCCAACCUAUUUCUAAUAUACCUCUAGAGUUAAAAUAUGUUAAUUAACUCUGUUAACUCUGUAAAAUUACUAUUUUGCCCUUUCAAAUAUACCUUUCCACCAUCACUGACUUUCUUAUUUGCCCCUAAAGUCAAGGGCACAAAAAGUAUUUUGACUUUUGGUCUUUUUCAAUAUACCCCUCAACUGUCACAAAUAUUUCUUAUUUGCUCUUAAGUUAAGGGCAAAAUUGGUAUCUUAAUUUUUUUUAACUGUGGUGGAUGUGUAAUUCACGUUUAACCCAAGUUAACUUAACAGGAAAUAACUGCGGGGGUAUUUUGCAAUAACGGUGGAACAUAUAAGGGGUAUUUUAGAAAGAAAAAAAAAGUAAGGAUGAAUCGGAUAUUUUCAAACUUAUAAGGGGUAUAUAGGCAAUUAUCCCAUUAUAAAAACCUCUUUGUACUUUA